GGGGCUCCUCCGAAAGGCGGCGAAGGAGGGGGUCCAGUGAGCUCUGGGGAUACCUGGUGAAGGUUGUCUGAGAUCCUCCCAAUGGAAGAUGAGAGGAUGGAGACCCUCGUGGGCAGAGGGCUGAGGGGCAGGGUCCAAUGGGGCCGAGGAGCCCUUCAGUGUUGAGGGGGGCCAGGGACCUGGAGGGUUCAGGGAGGAGGGCUUCUGUGGCGCCUGGAGGUCUUGGAAGGGGCAGAAGAAGGAGCCGCCCAGUGGCUUUACUCUGUCCAGCCGUGCACAAUCGCCGCACAAAAGCUUGCGCAGUCCAGAAAUUCGCCCAGGCCCUGACCAGCGCGCGAGCUCAUUAGUCAUUUAGCAAACAGUUGCUGUAUGCCAACUCUGCCAGGCUGGGAAAACCGGCGCUUGGUAUGGAGAAAGCCCGCCGGACGGGGGCGACACCACAAGUGGAGAAACUUAACUGUUAAGCACCCACUGUGCCAGGAACCUUGAAAGUACUCCUGCAGCAGGAACACCACUUACAGGGGCACAAGCUGGCCCCAGGACUCUCUGCUCCCAGCAUGGAGCUUUGGGCAGUAAGGAUGGCCUCAUUGCUCAUGAUAGGCAAGCAGAGUCACGCCCCAGACCAGCUGACCAUGUGAUUCCUUCUUGGAAAGUGACCUUCACAAGCCAUCCCAAACCAGCCCAGGGACCACGUGCUCACCAGCUGGAGUGCCUCCAGGUCAGUGUGCAGGGUACCUGGGCCACGGAGGGCCUGUAGGGGCCCAAUAUACUCUGUCAGUCUUCAGUAGUGUGGGUUGGGCGGGGGUGGGGUGGUGCUGCGCCCCUCCCCUGACUCCCGAAAAGGCAAGGCCCUACUGAGGUGGAGGGCACAAGGCGUCCAUCCUCUGGAGGAGCGCAAUGUUUCUGGGAACGGGCUGGUUUGUUUUUUGUAUUCCUGCUAAUAAGUAUAGUUGCGACUUGUCAUAUAACCAUUACAUAUGAAGGAAAAAACAUGAAUUUUCCAAUUGACGCAAGUACUUCUAAAGAAUAAAUCUGUUUGCUCUAAAUGCAAGGAUUCAGCUGGAACGUAAAUUGUACCUGUGCACAAUGGUUUGAUGCUCUUACUCUUGAUUAAAAUUAGAAGCCUCUCUUUUCAAGCUAACCACUUGCCAUAACUGUGGCACCGCUUUUAGUAAGUCAAGAAAGAAUAGCCAAGGUGUAGGCCAAUAGCCUGGGACAUUUCUAUUAUUAAAAGCUAACUAAGCAGAAACAGCUCAAAGCAAAACACGAACUUAAAGUAAAAAUGUUUGCUUAUGCAUAAGCCAAGAUACAUUCUUACGUGGGGGGCCCUGGUUUCAAUCCUCAGCACCACAUAAGAAUGAAAUAAAGAUAAUGUGUCCAACUCCAACUAAAAAAUGUUUAAAAAAAAUGGGUUAUUUCUAACAUUUUAGACAUUUCAUUUAAAAAAAUCAGUGCUAGGUGUGGUAGCCUGUAGUCCCAGAAAUUUAGGAGGCUUAGGCAGGAAUAUCACAAGCCCAAGAUGAGACCCUGUCUCAAAAGACUGGUGCAGGGCUGGGGAUGUGGCUCAAGCGGUAACACACUCGCGUGGCAUGCACGGGCAGCACCACAUAAAAAUAUGUUGUGUCCGCCGAAAACUGAAAAACAUUAAAAAAAAUUCUCUUGAAAAAAAAAAAAAGACUGGUGCAGUGAUAAAGCACCCCUGGGUUCAAUCCCAGUACCAAAAAACUAAAUACUGAAAUAAUAAUUUAAAAAACCCUCCACACAUCCCUUUUCUUAGGACAGUUUCCACUUCAGCAAGGCCUUCCUUGCUUGUGGCCAGUGUGCUGGCAGGUGGGACUGUGCUCUGGGUCCCCAUGAAGCCCAGUGGGGGGAGUGCAAGAGCAUUUUCAAAUGUUCAGUCUGUCUAGGAGGCUGCCAACCACAACCCCCUCAGCUGAUCACCUGUGGGCUCCAGCUCCCUCCAGGCCAUCCUUCCUCAGUACCACCCUCUGGGGCCACCACCUUUCCAGGGACCUGGCCCACUAGAAGCCAGUGGAAACCAGAGGCCACCCAGGGCUGCGUCUUGAAGCCUUAUCCACCUCAGGCUGCCAGAGUGAAGCAGUGACCCACACUGCCCUGCUAAUAGCAGCAGGAAAUGCGGAGGUGUAGCUGGCUGAGGGGCCCUCGCCACCUGGAUGGUUCUGGCCUCCUACCCACUGCCCUUUGGAGUCUGCCCAAGUCGUAGGCCUGGCUAACUGGCCACCUGAACUGUUCUGCAGGACACUUUCGAGGAAUCAAGGCCACUAUAUCCUCCUACCUACUUUCUUACCUCCUGCUUGUGUAGGGUAAGGUCUGAGCAUCCUUCACUCUCAUACCACCCAUCAGCCCAGCUUAGAGGCCCCGCCACAGCCCUGCCUGUCCCCCCUCCUCCCCAAGAGUCCUACAAUGCAUUUUUUUGAGCAUGGCUGGGGCCUGAACAGGGAUGGCGUGAUCCUAGUCUGACCUGGGCCAUCAGAGGGGCAGACAAUAGCACGAUGAGCACCCACCGAGAGCCAUCUGAGGACUCUGGGCAAAUUUAGGAGAUUAGGAGGGUAUGAGGUCCUGCUGCUCACGUUCUCCACCUGCAGAGCCACCCCCCAAGUGGAGGGCCCGAGUCUGGCUGGGACAGCUGCCAAUCAGCACUCCUACCCUCCUGGGCCCUGAGGUGAUGGCCCAGGUGGAGUGAGCAGGGCUACCAUCCUCAGGAGCCACUGAAGGAAACCAGGGGCCCACGCUGCCCAUACACACCCAGUCCUUUAUAUCCAACCCGAAGCACAUCACAAAUCUGCACCAGCUCAGGGCCCUUCUGGGAAGAAUCCAUGGAAGAGGGAGCCUCCCCAACCCCCUGGCACUUCAAGGAUGAGCGGCACUCGCACAGGAGCUGGGUGUGCCUUUAUUGCCCAGGCAGGCUACUUGAGGGGGAUGAAGCGGGACGAAUGGGUGGCCCCAAUGCCAGGCCGGCCGUGCUUCACGGGCUUGUAGGUGAUGGAGAACUCGCCCAGGUAGUGGCCGAUCAUCUCGGGCUGUGGAGGUCAAGAGCAGGGGUCAGGGUGUGUGGGCAGACAGCGCAUCCGCGCACCCACACCCAGGGCACACCAUACACACCUUGAUCUCCACCUGGUUGAAGGUCUUGCCGUUGUAGACGCCAACCAUGCUGCCCACCAUUUCAGGCAGAAUUAUCAUGUCCCGCAGGUGUGUCUUCACCACCUCUGGCUUCUCCAUCGGGGGCGCCUCCUUUUUGGCCUUGCGCAGGCGCUUCAGCAGCGAGUGCUGCUUCCGCCGCAGGCCGCGGUUCAGCCGCCGCCGCUGGCGUGCGCUGUACAGCUGCAUCAGCUGCUCGCUGCGGGGGACAAGGCGGCGGGUGGGUGGGCUGCACGCCCCUCCUCUGGCCCCUACAGCGCAAGGACAGCAGGGACAUACCCAGGCCAGGCCCCGGAGCAGCGGAAGGCGGCGUCGCCGGGAACACGGGGCCAUCGGAGCCCUGGGCACGCAGCCACGGCCCACGCCCACCCGGGCCCUCCACAUCAAAGGCGUCUCCCGCCGGCUCCUUACUAGGACAUGUCCAGCAGCUGGUCGAGGUCCACGCCGCGGUAGGUGAACUUGCGGAAGGUCCGCUUCUUCUUCUGCUCCACUUCCGCCUGCGCGGGCGCGGACGGGGUUGAGUAGGGGCUCGAGACCCACCCCGCGGCCCCACGAACGCGCUCACAGGGCGUCCGGCCCCAGUACGGAAGCCCGCGGGCACACGUUUGUCCCGGGUCACCGGGGCUCAGCCGAGAAAUGCGGGCCCGGGGCCUUCCGCGCCCCGAGUGGUCCUCACACACCGGGACCGUCCCGCGCCCCCACCCGCAGCCCCGGAGGCUUGGAGCAGGCCGUCACAGCGCGGGGCAAGACCCCGGCCCCCGCGGGACGGCCGGAGGUCGGAUGGAGUUGGAUAGGGACCCACAGGGGCCGGGACGAGCAGCACUCACCAUCUUGCCGGCUUUGCGGAAAAGACCUCCCCGCCCCGCGCCCGCGAAGUUAUCGCGAGGCCUCCUCGGGCCCCGCCCCUUGGCCGUGCGCGCAUUUCCGCCUUCCAGCGGCAGAGGCCGCCCCCUGCCGUCCGGAGGGCAGAACACCGGCUUUGGGUAUCAAAGGGGCCGCCGCCUUGGGCCGAGUUGCCCUUUCCAAAACGCUGGUCUUGUUUGAACCUCAGGGUCUUGCAAAAAUAAGCCUGGCCUUGAAUGUGAUUCUCCUUCCUCAGCCUGCCGGGUUGCUGAGAUUACAGCACACCACACCACAGCCUGGAUGUGGGAAAGACCCAAGCUCCUGUAAGCGACUUUUGAGACAGGGUCUUGCUGAGUUGCCCAGGCUUGUCUUGAACUUGUGAUCCUUCUGCAUCAGCCUCCCAAGUUGCUGGGAUGACAGCACGUAUGUGUAUGUGGUCAAACUGGUCAGUGGGAAACGCCCUAAAGCCAUGUGCCAAGGAGGUGGGCUUCUAGCAAGACUGUGCCUGCUGCACAGGGUCCAGGCUGUGGAAGUCAGUGCUGCCACGUGGCCAGCCAAGAGUGACCCACCUCCACAGCGCACUGCAGAUGCUACCAGGCAGGCCGGCCGACAAAAGCAAGGAGUAAACAAAAAACAAAACACACUCAGUAGAUUUCUUUAGCUCCCAGAGUUUCUGGACCAACAAGUCCCAACCCCCAAGCCAGGAUCGAGGGGACCUAAAAACACCCCCCCUCCCACCAGUGCCGACCGAACCCUGUUUUUAAAUUAAAAAAUAAGCCAGUAUACAUCGUAGAAAAUUUUCUCUUAAAAAUCUCACAAUUUGUAAAUGUAUAUUUUUUCUUUAACAUAAAAGUUUACAAUAUACGGUAAAACAAAA